rnacentral:rRNA from 1 species
AGGAGGUUGGCUUAGAAGCAGCCAUCCUUUAAAGAAAGCGUAAUAGCUCACUAGUCGAGUCGGCCUGCGCGGAAGAUUUAACGGGGCUAAGCCAUGCACCGAAGCUUAGGGUGUGCACACACAGGUGUGUACGCGGUAGAGGAGCGUUCCGUAAGCCGAUGAAGGUGACUUGUAAAGGUUGCUGGAGGUAUCGGAAGUGCGAAUGCUGACAUGAGUAACGAUAAUGGGGGUGAAAAGCCCCCACGCCGAAAGCCCAAGGUUUCCUUGCGCAACGUUAAUCGACGCAGGGUGAGUCGGCCCCUAAGGCGAGACCGAAAGGUGUAGUCGAUGGGAAGCAGGUUAAUAUUCCUGCACCUCGCGUAAGUGCGAUGGAGAGACGGAGAAGGUUAGGCAGGCCCCGCGUUGGUAGUCGGGGUGAGAGCGUUGAGGCGGUUCCCUUAGGCAAAUCCGGGGGAGCAACGUUGAGACGAAGGACCAGAUCAAUUAGAUCGAGGCUGCUGAUAUCACGCUUCCAGGAAAAUCUUCUAAGCUUCAGCUUACGCAGACCGUACCGUAAACCGACACAGGUGGGUAGGAUGAGAAUUCUAAGGCGCUUGAGAGAACUCGGGUGAAGGAACUAGGCAAAAUGGCACCGUAACUUCGGGAGAAGGUGCGCCUUCACUGGUUAAUAGCUGGAGAAGGCCUCAGAAACCAGGCCGCUGCGACUGUUUAUCAAAAACACAGCACUCUGCAAACACGAAAGUGGACGUAUAGGGUGUGACGCCUGCCCGGUGCUGGAAGGUUAAUUGAUGGGGUUAGCGUAAGCGAAGCUCUUGAUCGAAGCCCCAGUAAACGGCGGCCGUAACUAUAACGGUCCUAAGGUAGCGAAAUUCCUUGUCGGGUAAGUUCCGACCUGCACGAAUGGCGUAACGACAGCGGCGCUGUCUCCACCCGAGACUCAGUGAAAUUGAAAUCGCUGUGAAGAUGCAGCGUUCCCGCGGCAAGACGGAAAGACCCCGUGAACCUUUACUAUAGCUUUACAUUGAACGUUGAGUUCGUCUGUGUAGGAUAGGUGGGAGGCUAUGAAGUGUGGUCGCUAGAUCGCAUGGAGCCAUCCUUGAAAUACCACCCUGAUGUGCUUGACGUUCUAACCUAGGUCCGUUAUCCGGAUCGGGGACCAUGUAUGGUGGGUAGUUUGACUGGGGCGGUCUCCUCCCAAAGAGUAACGGAGGAGCACGAAGGUACGCUCAGCGCGGUCGGACAUCGCGCACUGUGUGCAAAGGCAUAAGCGUGCUUGACUGCAAGAUCGACGGAUCAAGCAGGUACGAAAGUAGGUCUUAGUGAUCCGGUGGUUCUGUAUGGAAGGGCCAUCGCUCAACGGAUAAAAGGUACUCCGGGGAUAACAGGCUGAUACCGCCCAAGAGUUCAUAUCGACGGCGGUGUUUGGCACCUCGAUGUCGGCUCAUCACAUCCUGGGGCUGUAGUCGGUCCCAAGGGUAUGGCUGUUCGCCAUUUAAAGUGGUACGCGAGCUGGGUUCAGAACGUCGUGAGACAGUUCGGUCCCUAUCUGUCGUGGGCGUUGGAUAUUUGAGAGGGGCUGCUCCUAGUACGAGAGGACCGGAGUGGACGAACCUCUGGUGUUCCGGUUGUCACGCCAGUGGCAUUGCCGGGUAGCUAUGUUCGGAAGCGAUAACCGCUGAAAGCAUCUAAGCGGGAAGCGCGCCUCAAGAUGAGAUAUCCCGAGACUUAAGUCUCCUAAAGGAACCAGGAAGACUACCUGGUUGAUAGGUCAGGUGUGUAAGUGCAGUAAUGUAUUGAGCUAACUGAUACUAAUGAUCCGUGAGGCUUGAUCAU